rnacentral:rRNA from 1 species
GACGGAGGGUGCUAGCGUUGUUCGGAAUGACUGGGCGUAAAGGGCGCGUAGGCGGGCUGCCGCGUCCGGGGUGAAAUCCCACGGCUCAACCGUGGAACGGCCCCGGGUACGGGCGGCCUCGAGGGGGGUAGGGGCGUGCGGAACUGUGGGUGGAGCGGUGAAAUGCGUUGAUAUCCACAGGAACUCCGGUGGCGAAGGCGGCACGCUGGACCCUCUCUGACGCUGAGGCGCGAAAGCCGGGGGAGCGAACGGG